rnacentral:rRNA from 1 species
GACGAACGCUGGCGGCAUGCUUUACACAUGCAAGUCGAACGGUGAAGGUGGAGCUUGCUCCGCCGGAUCAGUGGCGAACGGGUGAGUAACACGUGGGCAACCUGCCCCUAACUUUGGGAUAACUACUCGAAAGAGUAGCUAAUACCGGGUAUGAAGUCUGUAGGCAUCUAUGGAUUUGGAAAGUUUUUCGGUUAGGGAUGGGCCCGCGGCCUAUCAGCUUGUUGGUGAGGUAGUGGCUCACCAAGGCGACGACGGGUAGCCGGCCUGAGAGGGCGACCGGCCACACUGGGACUGAGACACGGCCCAGACGCCUACGGGAGGCAGCAGUGGGGAAUAUUGCGCAAUGGGCGAAAGCCUGACGCAGCAACGCCGCGUGCGGGAUGAAGGCCUUCGGGUUGUAAACCGCUUUCAGCAGGGAAGAAGCGAAAGUGACGGUACCUGCAGAAGAAGCACCGGCUAACUACGUGCCAGCCGCCGCCGUAAGAC